rnacentral:rRNA from 1 species
AUUGAACGCUGGCGGCAUGCCUUACACAUGCAAGUCGAACGGCAGCACGGGAGCAAUCCUGGUGGCGAGUGGCGAACGGGUGAGUAAUAUAUCGGAACGUGCCCAGUCGUGGGGAUAACGUAGCGAAAGCUACGCUAAUACCGCAUACGAUCUAUGGAUGAAAGCGGGGGAUCGCAAGACCUCGCGCGAUUGGAGCGGCCGAUAUCAGAUUAGGUAGUUGGUGAGGUAAAGGCUCGCCAAGCCGACGAUCUGUAGCUGGUCUGAGAGGACGACCAGCCACACUGGGACUGAGACACGGCCCAGACUCCUACGGGAGGCAGCAGUGGGGAAUUUUGGACAAUGGGCGCGAAGCCUGAUCCAGCAAUGCCGCGUGCAGGAUGAAGG